rnacentral:lncRNA from 1 species
AACAGAAUUUUUCAUACACCAUAUAUGCAUACACCUCACUGAAAUUCCCAAACACACACGGAAUAUUUACACACAACAACAGAAUUGGGAAAGGCGGGAACUGACCAACAUUCUCACAAUUUCACAGAACACAUAUACACACACAGCUCACAAUUUUCAUUUUUAUACACAGACUCACCAAAAACACAAAACAUCCUCACAAAUAUACGCGCACACACCCAAAACCAGUGAACGAAACACCAAAAGAAACUCUCAAUUUUGUCCAUUUUUCACAGUAAAAAAACACGCACCACAAACCGAUAUAUGCAAACGCAUAUGCCAAAGAUUGGAGAGAAAUUAAGAAAGACGGUGGACUGGGGUUGAUUGGAGAAACGAUAAUAGAUCGAGGGAGAGAGAAAAAAUAAAGGGAAACAAAUUACUAAGAAAAAUUCUUCUUCUCUAAUUCUUUCAUCAAAAAAUGUGACUGGCCGAAAAAAACCAUAUCCCCACACCUGUCCUUCACUGUUCUGACCAGAAUUAUUGGAACCAGUGAGUAACAUCCCAAAAAUUGAUCUAAAAUUUGAUUGAACCAUGUCUCUCUACCAUCGUUUGAGCUCACCAGAGCUCCGGUGAAACGAAAACAAUGCACCCUGUUCUGAUUCCAGUGAAUCCAUUUAAGCUCAAGUUAAAAUCUGCGAUUUAGGCUCGUAUUGAGGUUGUUCGAGGCUGGUUUGUUAAGACUAAGGUUUGAUUUGAGGUUUUCGGAUCUGGAUCCAUUAUCUACUAGCAUAAUUUGACACAAUAAAAGCAUUGAUUGAGGUCCAUUUUUUAUCUCACUCUCAAUUUAUUCUAAUUGUUUAAUACUUUGCGUGUUGAAUUCAUAGUAUGUUGAUUUCAUUUUAUUUACCUGGAUGUGUUUUGGAUCAUUGUGAGUGGUUGAUAUCGAUGUUCGAAUGUGUGAAUUGAAUAACUAAAAGAUUUGGGUUCAUUUGAGGUGGGGAUCGAAAAUUGAUAAAAGUGAAUAUCGUUGUAUUUUGAUUUUCUAUUAGUGAUUUAUUUUUGAAUAAUCGUUAAUUUUUUCGAACUUGAUAGUAUCAUGAUAGGCCGAAAUGGAUAGGCAAACGGUAGGCUCGGGUAGACAAAUUUAGAACUUAAGGAUUGUGGAAUGCUUGAAAUAUUUAUUGAAUGAUUUUGUUUACCGCAUUUGAAUCUAUUGUACUUAUUUCGCUGGGAAUAUCCCAAGACACAUUGUACUUAUUCAUCAGAGAAUUCUCCGAAGUACCAUGUACGCAAAGGAGGUUCGUGAUCAAGGCCCGAGGCAUCGGGUAAAGCAUUGAAGCAUAGUUUAGGAUUAGUGUAGGUCUGUUUUUCAGUACCUUUUUAUUUCGGGCUGUAAUAAUUAGACUGGACACUAUAUUUUUGUACUUGUUUUAACUUGUUCAUUUGAUCAAUUGUUUUGUGUGUUUUUGUGUGGUUUAUACAUUCAUAGUGUCAAAUUAGCUGCUAUGCUCCACCAAGAGAACAUGGUCAAAACACAGGAUUGAGGGGUGCCUAACACCUUCCCCUCGAUCAACA